UCUCGCCGGAACGCCGAGCCCCCGGCCGGCGGCAGGGCUCCACGGGCGGCCGGCGAAGCAAAAACGCUCCCGGCUCUCCCUCCCCCGCCGCAACCCGAGGGGCCGAGCUCGCCCGGAGGCGCCUUUCCAAGGCACGAAAAGUCUGAUCGGGGUCCCCCAGCCCGUUUUGCAAACACAGACAGAGGUCUAAGGAUGAGGUUGCUCAGCCUGAGAUGCCCAUUUAAUCUUAUUUACUGAGUGAGAUGCCUCUGUCCUGUGUGUUAUACCAACAGACAAGGACUGACAGGUAACGGGGUCAUCCAGAUCACCUUGAUUCUUGGAAAGGAGGGUCCUUAUCAG